rnacentral:rRNA from 1 species
CUUGUAGGUGGCGUACAGUGAUAAACGGUGCCAUCCCAAGGCCUAACCUUGGGAAUGCCUUUAAUACUUGUAUGCUAGAGUAUGUAUAAGGAAAGUGGAAUGCCAUAUGGAGCGGUUAAAUGCGUAGAUAUAUGGAGGAAGACCAAAAGCGAAGGCAACUUUCUGGUACAUGACUGACACUGAGAAGCGAAAGCGUGGGUAGCGAAUG